GAUCAUGGCUCAGGAUGAACGCUGGCGGCGUGCUUAACACAUGCAAGUCGAACGAAGCACUCUAUUUGAUUUUCUUCGGAAAUGAAGAUUUUGUGACUGAGUGGCGGACGGGUGAGUAACGCGUGGGUAACCUGCCUCAUACAGGGGGAUAACAGUUGGAAACGACUGCUAAUACCGCAUAAGCGCACAGGAUUGCAUGAUCCGGUGUGAAAAACUCCGGUGGUAUGAGAUGGACCCG
rnacentral:rRNA from 1 species